rnacentral:rRNA from 1 species
AUUGAACGCUGGCGGCAGGCCUAACACAUGCAAGUCGAACGAGUGGCGGACGGGUGAGUACUGUCUGGGAACCUGCCUGAUGGAUGGGGAUAACUACUGGAAACGGUACCUAAUACCGCAUACCAUCAGAUGUGCCCAGAUGGGAUUAGCUUGUUGGUGGGUUAACGGGUCGCCAAGGCGACGAUCCCUAGCUGGUCUGACAGGAUGACCAGAAACACUGGAACUGAGACACGGUCCAGAUGCCUACGGGAGGACGCAGUGGGGAAUAUGGCACAAUGGGCGCAAGCCUGAUGCAGCCAGGCCGCGUGUAUGAAGAAGGCCUUCGGGUUGUAAAGUACUUUCAGCGGGGAGGCGUUACCCGCAGAAGAAGCACCGGCUAACUCCGUGCCAGCAGCCGCGGUAAUUC